rnacentral:rRNA from 1 species
AAGGGGCUUCGGCCCUGAGUAGAGUGGCGAACGGGUGAGUAACACGUGGGUGAUCUACCUUCGAGUGGGGGAUAACGUUCCGAAAGGAGCGCUAAAACCGCAUGACGUUCCGGGUUUGAAGACCGGGAAACCAAAGUCGGGGCCCUUAGGGAAACUUAAGGCCUGGCGCUCGGAGAGGAGCCCGCGCCUGAUUAGCUAGUUGAUGGGGUAACGGCUCACCAAGGCGACGAUCAGUAGCCGGCCUGAGAGGGCGGACGGCCACACUGGGACUGAGACACGGCCCAGACUCCUACGGGAGGCAGCAGUGGGGAAUUGUUCGCAAUGGGCGAAAGCCUGACGACGCAACGCCGCGUGGAGGAUGAAGGUCUUCGGA